UACGUAGGUGACAAGCGUUGUCCGGAUUUACUGGGCGUAAAGGGCGCGUAGGCGGCCCCCUGAGUCCCGCGUGAAAUCUCCCGGCUCAACCGGGAGGGUGCGCGGGAUACUGGGGGGCUGGAGGGCAUCAGAGGGAAGCGGAAUCCCCGGUGUAGUGGUGAAAUGCGUAGAUAUCGGGGGGAACACCAGUGGCGAAGGCGGCUUCCUGGGGUGUACCUGACGCUGAGGCGCGAAAGCGUGGGGAGCGAACCGG
rnacentral:rRNA from 1 species